GAUGAACGCUGGCGGCGUGCCUAAUACAUGCAAGUCGAGCGAACGGACGAGAAGCUUGCUUUUCUGAUGUUAGCGGCGGACGGGUGAGUAACACGUGGAUAACCUACCUAUAAGACUGGGAUAACUUCGGGAAACCGGAGCUAAUACCGGAUAAUAUUUUGAACUGCAUGGUUCAAAAGUGAAAGACGGUCUUGCUGUCACUUAUAGAUGGAUCCGCGCUGCAUUAGCUAGUUGGUAAGGUAACGGCUUACCAAGGCAACGAUGCAUAGCCGACCUGAGAGGGUGAUCGGCCACACUGGAACUGAGACACGGUCCAGACUCCUACGGGAGGACGCAGUAGGGAAUCUUCCGCAAUGGGCGAAAGCCUGACGGAGCAACGCCGCGUGAGUGAUGAAGGUCUUCGGAUCGUAAAACUCUGUUAUUAGGGAAGAACAUAUGUGUAAGUAACUGUGCACAUCUUGACGGUACCUAAUCAGAAAGCCACGGCUAACUACGUG
rnacentral:rRNA from 1 species